GGUUCUUUAGCUCAGUUGGUUAGAGCGCUCGCCUCACACGCGAGAGGUCGGCAGUUCGAGUCUGCCAAGAACCA
rnacentral:tRNA from 1 species